rnacentral:rRNA from 1 species
UACGGGGGGAGCAAGCGUUGUUCGGAUUUACUGGGCGUAAAGGGCGCGUAGGCGGCCACCGCAAGUCGGUUGUGAAAUCUCUGGGCUUAACCCAGAAAGGUCAACCGAUACUGCGGGGCUAGAGUGCAGAAGGGGCAACUGGAAUUCUCGGUGUAGCGGUGAAAUGCGUAGAUAUCAGGAGGAACACCGAUGGCGAAGGCAGGUCUCUGGGCAUUAACUGACGCUGAGGAGCGAAAAGCAUGGGGAGCGAACAGG